GAGGGUAUAGCUCAGUGAUAGAGUGUGUGCUUAGCAUGCACAAGGUCCUGGGUUCAAUCCCCAGCACUUACA
rnacentral:tRNA from 1 species